UACGUAGGGUGCGAGCGUUGUCCGGAAUUAUUGGGCGUAAAGAGCUCGUAGGCGGUCUGUCGCGUCGGAUGUGAAAACUCGGGGCUCAACCCCGAGCCUGCAUUCGAUACGGGCAGACUAGAGUUCGGUAGGGGAGACUGGAAUUCCUGGUGUAGCGGUGAAAUGCGCAGAUAUCAGGAGGAACACCGGUGGCGAAGGCGGGUCUCUGGCCUGUAACUGACGCUGAGGCGCGAAAGCGUGGGGAGCAAACAGG
rnacentral:rRNA from 1 species